CUUUAAGUUACUUUCCCUUUCUCUCAGAAUAAUCAAUUUGAUUAAACUUUACCCUUCAGAUUCAAGGCCAAGGUUUAGAGAUUAAAUCACUGCCGGUAAUUGAUUUAAUCAAUUGAUGAUCAGUUAUAAUGAUGAAUCAAUUUGUUGAACGAGCAACAAGUUGAUCUGUAAAGUGAAUCCAAGUUAAUUUUGUUUCCAGUUAAACAUCAAUUUCAAUGGAAUGACUUUCUAAUCAAUUAACCGAAGCCUUGAGUCAUUAACUUUUCUCAUCAUCAUAAUUAUCUUAAUUUUAAUUCUAUUCUCUUUACAAUUCUCAACAAUUAACUAAUCUCUCUCUCUCUCUUUUUUCUUGUUUUUUUUUCGCUUAAUUACAAAUAAACGGGAUGAAACAUUUCGCCUUCUUGAUUAUCUUUUCUUACCUUGAUGCUCAUCAGAUGAUCUGCUCCGAAUCCGCUUCUAUUUCCUGGUCUUUUACCGAGAAAAGGGAAACAUGAUUAUGGCUGUUGUUCCGGUUGCAAGGAUGAUGAAGAAGAUGAUUAAUUACAAGUUAGUACGAUGUUUACGCUCGUCUUUAAGGUCAAAUUGUUAAAACAUCGCGAUGUUAAUGAUCACACUCAAUGUUAUCAAUCAAUCAUCGAUAUGAUUAUAUUAUUAAUAUUAUUUGAUGCGGAAAAAAUUGAUUAUCGUCUAAUUUUGUUUAUGUUUUACUUUGAUUUUUUUGAUUGCGAUAAAUUUUAUUUAUCUGUUGUAUAUAUAAAUUUAAUUUGACAAGAAAAAAAAACAAUUUAUCAAAUAAUUGUAUUGCAAUAACAGAGGAAUUGGAUUAGUUGUAAUGAAUGAGAGGAUUAGUCGUUAAAGAUUUGUAAAGGAAAUAGAUUGAUGGGUAAAACG